rnacentral:rRNA from 1 species
CCUUGAAGAUCGGAGUGCUUGCACUCUGUGAAACAAGAUACAGGCUAGCGGCGGACGGGUGAGUAACACGUGGGUAACCUGCCCAAGAGAUCGGGAUAACACCUGGAAACAGAUGCUAAUACCGGAUAACAACAGAUGAUGCCUAUCAACUGUUUAAAAGAUGGUUCUGCUAUCACUCUUGGAUGGACCUGCGGUGCAUUAGCUAGUUGGUAGGGUAACGGCCUACCAAGGCGAUGAUGCAUAGCCGAGUUGAGAGACUGAUCGGCCACAUUGGGACUGAGACACGGCCCAAACUCCUACGGGAGGCAGCAGUAGGGAAUCUUCCACAAUGGACGCAAGUCUGAUGGAGCAACGCCGCGUGAGUGAAGAAGGGUUUCGGCUCGUAAAGCUCUGUUGUUGGUGAAGAAGGACAGGGGUAGUAACUGACCUUUGUUUGACGGUAAUCAAUUAGAAAGUCACGGCUAACUACGUGCCAGCAGCCGCGGUAAUACGUAGGUGGCAAGCGUUGUCCGGAUUUAUUGGGCGUAAAGCGAGUGCAGGCGGCUCGAUAAGUCUGAUGUGAAAGCCUUCGGCUCAACCGGAGAAUUGCAUCAGAAACUGUCGAGCUUGAGUACAGAAGAGGAGAGUGGAACUCCAUGUGU